AACCGGAGCUAAUACCGAAUAACACUUUCGCUCGCAUGAGCGGAUGUUAAAAGACGGUUUCGGCUGUCACUUACAGAUGGACCCGCGGCGCAUUAGCUAGUUGGUGAGGUAACGGCUCACCAAGGCGACGAUGCGUAGCCGACCUGAGAGGGUGAUCGGCCACACUGGGACUGAGACACGGCCCAGACUCCUACGGGAGGCAGCAGUAGGGAAUCUUCCGCAAUGGACGAAAGUCUGACGGAGCAACGCCGCGUGAGUGAUGAAGGUUUUCGGAUCGUAAAACUCUGUUGUUAGGGAAGAACAAGUAUGAGAGUAACUGCUCGUACCUUGACGGUACCUAACCAGAAAGCCACGGCUAACUACGUGCCAGCAGCCGCGGUAAUACGUAGGUGGCAAGCGUUGUCCGGAAUUAUUGGGCGUAAAGCGCGCGCAGGCGGUUCCUUAAGUCUGAUGUGAAAGCCCACGGCUCAACCGUGGAGGGUCAUUGGAAACUGGGGAACUUGAGUGCAGAAGAGGAAAGCGGAAUUCCACGUGUAGCGGUGAAAUGCGUAGAGAUGUGGAGGAACACCAGUGGCGAAGGCGGCUUUCUGGUCUGUAACUGACGCUGAGNNNNGAAAGCGUGGGNNNNNNACAGGAUUAGAUACCCUGGUAGUCCACGCCGUAAACGAUGAGUGAUAAGUGUUAGAGGGUUUC
rnacentral:rRNA from 1 species